GACGAACGCUGGCGGCAUGCCUAAUACAUGCAAGUCGAGCGAACAGAUGAAGUGCUUGCACUUCUGACGUUAGCGGCGAACGGGUGAGUAACACGUAAGGAAUCUACCUAUAAGCGGGGGAUAACAUUCGGAAACGGGUGCUAAUACCGCAUAAUAUCUUCUUCCGCAUGGAAGAAGAUUGAAAGACGGCUCUGCUGUCACUUAUAGAUGACCUUGCGGUGCAUUAGUUAGUUGGUGGGGUAACGGCCUACCAAGACGAUGAUGCAUAGCCGACCUGAGAGGGUGCGCGUCCACAUUGGGACUGAGACACGGCCCAAACUCCUACGGGAGGCAGCAGUAGGGAAUCUUCCGCAAUGGGCGAAAGCCUGACGGAGCAAUGCCGCGUGAGCGAAGAAGGCCUUCGGGUCGUAAAACUCUGUUAUAAGAGAAGAACAAAUUGUAGAGUAACUGCUACAGUCUUGACGGUAUCUUAUCAGAAAGCCACGGCUAACUACGUGCCAGCCGCCGCCGUAA
rnacentral:rRNA from 1 species